CGCAAUGGGCGAAAGUUUGACGGAGCGACGCCGCGUGAUUGAUGAAGUCUUUAGGGAUGUAAAAAUUUUUUUUCAAGGAGGAAGUUUAUUGACGUUACUUGAGGAAUAAGGGGCUCCUAAUCUCGUGCCAGCAGGAGCGGUAAUACGAAAGCCCCCAGCGUUAUCCGGAAUUACUGGGCGUAAAGGGUGUGUAGGGGGUUAUAUUAGUUUUCCGUUAAAUUUCCGGGCUCAACCGGGAAACCGGGAAAGAAACGGUAUAGCUAGAGAGUGAGAGAGGUAUGGGGAACUCAUGGUGUAGGGGUAAAUCCGUUGAUAUCAUGGGGAACACCAAAAGCGAAGGCACCAUACUGGCUCAUUUCUGACACUGAAACAGGAAAGCGU
rnacentral:rRNA from 1 species